AGCGAACGCUGGCGGCAGGCCUAACACAUGCAAGUCGAACGGAUCCUUCGGGAUUAGUGGCGGACGGGUGAGUAACACGUGGGAACGUGCCUUUUGGUUCGGAACAACUCAGGGAAACUUGAGCUAAUACCGGAUAAGCCCUUCGGGGGAAAGAUUUAUCGCCAUUAGAGCGGCCCGCGUAGGAUUAGCUAGUUGGUGGGGUAAAGGCCCACCAAGGCUACGAUCCUUAGCUGGUCUAAGAGGAUGAUCAGCCACAUUGGGACUGAGACACGGCCCAAACUCCUACGGGAGGCAGCAGUGGGGAAUCUUGCGCAAUGGGCGAAAGCCUGACGCAGCCAUGCCGCGUGAAUGAUGAAGGUCUUAGGAUUGUAAAAUUCUUUCACCGGGGACGAUAAUGACGGUACCCGGAGAAGAAGCCCCGGCUAACUUCGUGCCAGCAACCGCGGUAAUACGAAGGGGGCGAGCGUUGUUCGGAUUUACUGGGCGUAAAGGGCGCGCUGGCGGCGCAUUUUGUCAGGCGUGAAAGCCCCGGGCUUAACCUGGGAACUGCGUUUGAUACGGAUGGGCUAGAGUUCGGGAGAGGAGAGUGGAAUUCCCAGUGUAGAGGUGAAAUUCGUAGAUAUUGGGAAGAACACCGGUGGCGAAGGCGGCUCUCUGGACCGAGACUGACGCUGAGGCGCGAAAGCGUGGGGAGCAAACAGGAUUAGAUACCCUGGUAGUCCACGCUGUAAACGAUGUGUGCUAGACGUUGGGGAGCCUAGCUCUUCGGUGUCGCAGCUAACGCGGUAAGCACACCGCCUGGGGAGUACGGCCGCAAGGUUAAA
rnacentral:rRNA from 1 species